AUUGAACGCUGGCGGCAGGCUUAACACAUGCAAGUCGAGCGGGGUGAUGGUGCUUGCACUAUCACUUAGCGGCGGACGGGUGAGUAAUGCUUAGGAAUCUGCCUAUUAGUGGGGGACAACAUCCCGAAAGGGAUGCUAAUACCGCAUACGUCCUACGGGAGAAAGCAGGGGAUCACUUGUGACCUUGCGCUAAUAGAUGAGCCUAAGUCGGAUUAGCUAGUUGGUGGGGUAAAGGCCUACCAAGGCGACGAUCUGUAGCGGGUCUGAGAGGAUGAUCCGCCACACUGGGACUGAGACACGGACCAGACUCCUACGGGAGGCAGCAGUGGGGAAUAUUGGACAAUGGGGGGAACCCUGAUCCAGCCAUGCCGCGUGUGUGAAGAAGGCCUUAUGGUCGUAAAGCACUUUAAGCGAGGAGGAGGCUCUUGGUUAAUACCCAAGAUGAGUGGACGUUACUCGCAGAAUAAGCACCGGCUAACUCUGUGCCAGCCGCCGCCGUAA
rnacentral:rRNA from 1 species